rnacentral:rRNA from 1 species
GAUGAACGCUGGCGGCGUGCCUAAUACAUGCAAGUCGAGCGAACAGACGAGGAGCUUGCUCCUCUGACGUUAGCGGCGGACGGGUGAGUAACACGUGGAUAACCUACCUAUAAGACUGGGAUAACUUCGGGAAACCGGAGCUAAUACCGGAUAAUAUAUUGAACCGCAUGGUUCAAUAGUGAAAGACGGUUUUGCUGUCACUUAUAGAUGGAUCCGCGCCGCAUUAGCUAGUUGGUAAGGUAACGGCUUACCAAGGCAACGAUGCGUAGCCGACCUGAGAGGGGGGACCGCCCAACCGGAAACGGGGAACAGGCCCAACUCCUCACGGGAGGAAGGAGGAGGAAAUUUUCCGCAAGGGGCGAAAGGUGAGCGGGGAAACGCCGCGUGAGGAAAGAAGGGUUUGGGAUCGUAAAACUUUUUUUUUGGGGAAGAACAAAUGGGUAAGUAAUUUUGCCCGUUUGAAAGGUACCUAAGAAGAAGGCCGGGGCAAACUACGG